UGAUUUGGAUUAGGUAAUUCAUCAAGAGCCUGUUAUGAGCCAUUGCUUAGACCUUCUGUGUCAGACAACCAGUUGUCACUUUAUCUGGUUGUGGAUUGCUGCUUAGCAAUCAGGCCAAGGCUUGCUGCAUGCUGGGCAGCUCCAUCCUCUGAUUUCACUCCCAGGGAAGCCAUAUGUAAUUCUCCAAUUUCUGUACUGUAACUUAAAUUCAGCAUUCAUAUUAAAACAAUGAUUUGCACUAUUGGUGAUUGUGUAAGCUCUUUGCAAUUGACAGUGAGCUGGACCUUAACUGUUAUAAAAAUAAUUGUAGCUCCAACAAGCUCCAUAGUUUUACCACCCAACAGUUUAGUUUAAUUUCUGUGGCCAGUUGCACUCAUGGCUUUUGCUGCCCUCUUCUUGUAGAGGAUUUUUCAGGAGGGAUGUGUAUUAUUUUAAAAAGACUGUAGCUAAGUGAGUCAAGUGAAGGAAAUGAAUUUGUGGCAGUAUCUCCAUUUAGAAAAAAAAUAUUGCCUAGCCCUCCUUUUGUUUUCAGUUUUGAAUUAGAACCACUGAAAAUUUAGGUUGGAAAGGACUCCUGGAGAUGAUCUGUCUGCCAUUCUGUUGGAAGCGUUAGAUUUCAAGCCUUAGACAAGGUUAUCUGGGACACUAUCAAGCUGAUUCUUGAUUUUUUUCCAAUAAGGGGGUUCCACCACUUCUCUGAGCAGCCUCUUCCAAUGCUUAGUUCCUCUUUCUGUGAAGAAUUUGUUGUUCUAAUAUCCAGAUUUACUUUCCCCUGAAGCAAUUUGUGGCUGCUACCUCAUGUUAUGUAAAAAUACAUCCUGGUGUUCCUUCACCAGAACAUUUUUUUUUUUGUGUUAUGUGUUGCAAGAUUGUGAGUAGAUUCUGAGCCUUUUCUUCUUUAGGCCGAACAAGCCCAGUUCCUUCAUCCUUUCUUCAGACAAGCUUUACAAUUCUCUAAUCAUUCUGGUGGACCCUUCACUGGACCCUAUCCUAUUUUUCAGUGUCCAUCUUGAAAUGGGGGGGACCAAAACUGGACGCAGUGUCCCAGGCAUGCCCUAGCAAGUGCUAACAGAGUGCAGUAAUCCCUUGUCCUGCUGCAAUCUGGGACGUGGUUUGUCUCCACUGCCCAAGGGUGCUCUGCUGACUCACAUUUAGCUUGCUUUCUGCCAGGACCUCCAGGUGCUUUUACAGCACAGCUAUUUUAUGGCCUUGUGUAUCUCCAGUUUGUACAGCUGGUCCCUAACUCAACUAUUCUCUGUCUCUAAAGGCAUUUCUAAGCUUGCUAGUUGGGUCAGACUGGGUCAUGACUAUUGCAGCGAGAAGUGCUGGGGGGGGAAUUACUUUAUGUGUAAGUGUCUUCUGGAGAGAGGACGGGAUGUGUAUGCACACACCCCCUUCACCUCAGUGCUCUGAUACUACUGAAUCGGUGUUUUAAUUUCUUUAUGCCUACAGGAGCUAUCUGUUUUUUUCAUCAGAAAGAUAAUGUAAGAGCACAAACUGUUCUCAUGUUGCAUAAAAAUGCCUGCCUGCCUUCAAAUACUCGGUACUGGAAUUUCUUUUUGCACUUGCUGGGCUCUCACCCUGUCUUGCUUUUUCCCUUCUCUUUUGCAAGGCGACCUGCUCGCUCUGCCCAUUCCCCAGGCCAGGCAUCCAGAACCUGGCCCCAAUCCGGAGGCGGGGGGAUCUGCCUCCUGUCCUCAGCCUUGCUGGAAGACCUGGGGGCUCGAUGCCAGCACAGCACCGGGUGCUGGGGCACCACGCAAGCUCUGCUCUGCUGUGGAAGCCCUGCAGCACCGCUGCUGCGCUCCUCCCGGGGCCUUACAAGGCAGCGCUGUUGUGAAAGUCUUCUUGGGUCACAGAUGGCAAAAGCAAAAAAAAAAAAUCUAAAUAUUAAAAAAAAAAAAAAAAAAAGAGAAAUAAUUGCAGUUAUUAUUGAUCACCAACUGCUUUAUACCCUAGCUACUUUCACAGUCGGUGGAUCUAUCAAUGCCCAGUGCUACUUGACAACAAUUACGCAGGACUCCUGAUAGAUGGAUGAUAUGGGCCAACCUCUGCUAAGCCUGUGGGCUCUUUGCAUGAUUGGAUUAGGUCUGCUCCUAAUGGGAUCUUUUUCCAUAUCACAGUCCAGACGCAAUGCAAUGUAAUGAGGGAAGAGAUGCUAGAAUGCUAGUUGUAAUAAAGUGAAAAAUCACUUUUUCUUACAUUAUCACAGUAAUUUAACAAUUAAAAAUUAACUCAGUGAGGAACCUGGAAGAAAGAGAUGAUACUAUUGCUGAAAGUCAGAGCCAGGAAGUUUUCUGAGCGCUUCAGUGCAAAAACAAUAGAUGACCACCUUGGAGUCUUAUAAACUGAGAGGCGCUCCACAUAUUCAAAGCCUGAAUUCUUAUUAGGCAUCCAGAACUUUACUGCAGGUCUAUAUUGAGUGGCCUUUUACUUCUCUGUGGGGUCAGGGGGAGGAGAAUAUAAAUACUGCAACUUUGAAAGUUUUAAUUUAGGUUUGAAUGGACAGUAUCUUAGCCAGGUUAUUAACAUUCACCUUUCAGCAGUGGUUUGGUAAUAUGGUUUAUUUUAAAUAAAUUUUCAAUCAGUAAAGAAAAACAAAAGCCAUUUCUCUGGUAAUGAUAAAAACCCAGUACCCUUUUCUAGUAAUAGAUCAGAAAUGGUCCUUCUGUUUUCCAUUGCUUAAAGUUUCUAAUUGCUUUUCUCCUUGUUUCCUUCAAUUUGAAGCAAAAAUACAUACAAAAUCAUGCUCACAUCAUUUGAUAAAGGCAAAAUUUCAAAAAGUUAAAUGAUUAGAAAAAGAGUUAAUUUGAUUUAUAUUACCUGUCCUACUGAGAGCAUUUCUUUGCUUCCAGGUAUAAAGGCUAAGGAAAGUCAGACAGGGCCCACAGCUGUUCCCAAUGUAAUAAAUAUUCCAAGACCUAAGGCCUGUGUCUUUUACAGGCUACGCAAUCCUACUCCAACCUGUUAGUCAUGGGAAGAAGGGAGUUGUUGUCACAUUCUGAUUGGGACACCAAAAAGGGUCUGAACUGCCUUAUUUCCAUGGACCAGAGAGCUGUUAAAUGAAGGCAGUAGCUAGAGUAAAGUAGAAAGAAAGACUAAAAAUAUGGUUAUGAAUUUGAUCCUGAAGUUACAAGAAUUCUACAGUGUAUUGAAUGGGUAGAUAAUGGAUAGCAAAUUCAUGCUAAGAAUAAAUUUUAUUAAGCAAAAUAAAUCCUCCUAGUUAGUUUCCUCCCGGACUCAUUGAGAUUAAAUUUUCAAUAGGACUUGCGUCUAGGCUGGAAGAUUGGGUUGCUACUGGUGAGUAGGAAAUUGUAUCUGGAAGGGCAUGAUAGGAUGUGGGAUCCAUUUCAUCAAUUUUGUAGGAAAUUAAGUUUUUAAUUAAAAUAAAAUUAAUUUAUCUUCCUAGAGAUAGACCCGUAGAGGCUUAUAUUUAGAAGAUUAUCAUCAAACAUACACAAACAGAUGGCUCCCUUCUUUCUUUACUUAUACCCAACCCAAGCAAAGAAAACAUCAGUCUACUAGAGGCCUGUUAGGGAAUUAACAAGCAUCAGGUGGGUGGGCGAUCCUGAUGCUCAAAACUAUUGGAGUUAUUCGUAGAGGAGAGGUCCUGAAGCAAGUGGUGGAAGAAAACUUGAGGUGACAAAAGUACUCAGCUAAAUUCCGACAGACCCUGCGUACAUACACAGACACACGCACGCCGUUUUUCUUGAACGUCUGAGAGGAUGAGCCUGGAUCCCUGCAACUUCUGACUAGGCGGCCCUUGCACUCUGCCUGUUACCCGCAGCUGGGCUCCCACCGAGAGCAGCCUGCACAGCGCUUGCCGUCCUGGCCUGAAGUGAAUGAAGCUCAUGGCUUCACGGAAGAUUUUGGAGCAGCCCAGAGGGCAGUGUGGGAACCUGUUUAAAUCCCAGAUCGCUGGAGGAAACGGCGCCCCUAGGUGUCAAGUGGCCCCAUAGCAAAUCCAAAUGCACGUUCUUGUGGAUGAGAUGGAAAUGAAGCCUCUUCCCUUGGAAAACAGAAGGAAAGGGUCACAAUGUAGUGGCAGCAUGCAAGGCAGCUCAGGGCGGGUGCUUCAGGGAGCAGGGGAGUGCUCUGGGGUCUGUUCCCCUCCCUCCUCCAGAACUGCGCUUGGGGAGGCAGGGAGCUCUUGCCUUCUUCUGAAAACAAGUGGCAGAGAAUAGCUGUCACUGAGAUUAUUUAUUCCCUUUAUUUCUUUGGCAAAACCAAGGGAAGCCUCUGACACUUCACACCUGGCGAAUGCUUGCCCACUUUUUACUGCCUCGUGGGCUUUUUUCCGCUGUGUCGGGCAAAGCGAACAAGUGUAAUAUUGAGGCAGGGACGGAGAAGAAAAUGAAAAACGGAGAGCGAGUUAUGCAGUGCGAGCCUUUAAAGCUGAGGGAAAAGCUGUUUAAAAUUGCUGAGUCCGAAGCAAACAUCGCCUGGGUCAGCUUUCCAGCGUGACAGCGAUAAACACGUGACCGAUAACUCAACCCGACAGAAGGGGUGUUCAAGCAUACAAAUACCGGGAACGCUGCGUGCUGCUUCUGCACCCAAAAUGCAAUACGUAAGCCUGGACUUCCCCGGCAGCACGCCUCCCGUCUCUCCCAUCCGCUCGUUUGACGAGCAGGAUGCCCUGUGAAAGCGCAGCCUUUCUGAGCCCAUUAGAGAAGAGAGGCUCUGUCUCCGCGCUCCUUUUCGCAGCCCGCACGCUCUGUGAGCCGCACUGUGCGCGGGGGGGCUGCGAAGGGAUGCGCUGGAACCGACCGUCUCACAGGCAGCCUUGUUGCGGAUGAACCCUCGCUGGCAGAAAAGAUUAGCUGCAACCCAGAGAGGAAAACAAAAAGUCAUAUUUGAAGGAAGAUUGUGGUGCAAAAUUCUGAUUAUUUAUCGGGCAAGAAGAUAGUCGGGGCUUUGUGUUAUCGGAGAUUCUGUGCCCUAGGAAGCUGGCAGCGAAUUCAGCCCGGUGCUGCCAAACUGUACUUCAGAAUCUGAGGUUUCAUAUGAAAAAGGAGAAAAAAAGCAAAACAAACAGAAAACCCUCUAUACCCUGCAGCUGCAGAGAAAAUACUCCGAAACUCACUGAGACCAGAGCUGUGUUCUUGUCUUGAGUCAGCAAUCAGCUUGAAGCAAUACCUUUGAGAAGAGCGAACUGUGCUGGUCAUUUCAAUGCAUGCGAGCUAUGAAGUCUGACGUGUUUCACAGCAGCUAGCCCGUUUCUGUGCUUUUUUGCAAAAAGCUCGCUGUAGUGUGUGCCGUGUAAGAACGUAUGUUCUUGGGAGAGACGAAGGGAAACUAGAAGGAAGGUUUGUUAUUAUUCAUGUAAAUUUGGAUUAAUGCUCAACUUCCUUCUCUUCUUCCCCCCUUCCAAAAAAAAAAAAAAAAAAAA